CUACCAUCAAAGAUUAAAUAAAACAAUAAUGAAGUAUACAGAGGAAAUCCUAAACACAUUUAUUGUAAUUUUUUGCAACCUUUUUAUACUUUUGUUUGUUUGUUUUUUAUUAUUUAGACAACACAUACUCUGUCCAAGAUCCAAAGCCAUCAGCAGAUCAAAGAAAAAUGCAGACACCAGUUUUUCCAAUAAGCAUGUCCCAUGUAAAUGAGCAAGAAGAUGCUUGGGGGGACCACCCAUCGAGCUAUCGAGAAGACACAACUUCUGAGCUGAGACCUUCAAGUACCCUGG